rnacentral:tRNA from 1 species
GGAGGUAUGGCUUAAGUAGUAGAGCAUCUGCCUACCAAGCAGGAGGCCCCAAGUACCACCA